rnacentral:rRNA from 1 species
GUAGGUGGCAAGCGUUGUCCGGAAUUAUUGGGCGUAAAGCGCGCGCAGGCGGUCCUUUAAGUCUGAUGUGAAAGCCCACGGCUCAACCGUGGAGGGUCAUUGGAAACUGGGGGACUUGAGUACAGAAGAGGAAAGCGGAAUUCCAAGUGUAGCGGUGAAAUGCGUAGAGAUUUGGAGGAACACCAGUGGCGAAGGCGGCUUUCUGGUCUGUAACUGACGCUGAGGCGCGAAAGCGUGGGGAGCAAACAGGGAUUAGAUACCCUGGUAGUCCACGCCGUAAAUGAUGAGUGCUAAGUGUUAGGGGGUUUCCGCCCCCCUUAGUGCUGCAGCUAACGCAUUAAGCACUCCGCCUGGGAGUACGGCCGCAAGGCUG